rnacentral:rRNA from 1 species
GACGUAGGGCGCGAGCGUUGUCCGGAUUUAUUGGGCGUAAAGAGCUCGUAGGCGGCUCGUUGCGUCGGCUGUGAAAACCCGCAGCUCAACUGUGGGCUUGCAGCUGAUACGGGCGGGCUGGAGUUCGGUAGGGGAGACUGGAAUUCCUGGUGUAGCGGUGAAAUGCGUAGAUAUCGGGAGGAACACCUGAGGCGAAGGCGGGCUACUGGGCCGAUACUGACGCUGAUGCGCGAAAGCCAGGGGAGCAAACGGG